UACGUAGGGGGCAAGCGUUGUCCGGAAUCAUUGGGCGUAAAGCGCGUGUAGGCGGCCCGGUAAGUCCGCUGUGAAAGUCCAGGGCUCAACCCUGGAAUGCCGGUGGAUACUGUCGGGCUCGAGUCCGGAAGAGGCGAGUGGAAUUCCUGGUGUAGCGGUGAAAUGCGCAGAUAUCAGGAGGAACACCGAUGGCGAAGGCAGCUCGCUGGGACGGUACUGACGCUGAGACGCGAAAGUGUGGGGAUCAAACAGG
rnacentral:rRNA from 1 species